UACAGAGGUGGCAAGCGUUGUUCGGAAUUACUGGGCGUAAAGGGCGCGUAGGCGGCCUUGUAAGUCUCGUGUGAAAGCCCUCGGCUUAACUGAGGAUCUGCACGGGAUACUGCGAGGCUUGAGUUCGGGAGAGGAAAGCGGAAUUCCGGGUGUAGCGGUGAAAUGCGUAGAUAUCCGGAGGAACACCAGUGGCGAAGGCGGCUUUCUGGACCGACACUGACGCUGAGGCGCGAAAGCUAGGGGAGCAAACAGG
rnacentral:rRNA from 1 species